rnacentral:rRNA from 1 species
GAUGAACGCUAGCUACAGGCUUAACACAUGCAAGUCGAGGGGAAACGGCAUUAAGUGCUUGCACUUUUUGGACGUCGACCGGCGCACGGGUGAGUAACGCGUAUCCAACCUUCCCAUGACUAAGGGAUAACCUGCCGAAAGGCAGACUAAUACCUUAUGGUCUUCACUGACGGCAUCAGAUGUGAAGUAAAGAUUUAUCGGUUAUGGAUGGGGAUGCGUCUGAUUAGCUUGUUGGCGGGGUAACGGCCCACCAAGGCAACGAUCAGUAGGGGUUCUGAGAGGAAGGUCCCCCACAUUGGAACUGAGACACGGUCCAAACUCCUACGGGAGGCAGCAGUGAGGAAUAUUGGUCAAUGGGCGAGAGCCUGAACCAGCCAAGUAGCGUGCAGGAUGACGGCCCUAUGGGUUGUAAACUGCUUUUGUAUGGGGAUAAAGUCAAUCACGUAUGAUUGUUUGCAGGUACCAUACGAAUAAGGACCGGCUAAGUCCGUG